AUUUCUUUAAGGAAUUGCUAAAAUAUAUGGGGUCCCAUUGUUUUGUAGUACUCCUACAUAUUUUAUCUAGAUUAGAUUCUAGAUAGCGAAAAGAUCCAUUAAUUAGCUCGGGAGAUUUAGCCCAGCAAGUAUGCAGAACAUUUGACCUCAAUGUCAGAAAUGGAAGAAACUGCACUGUCCAGUAUACUGAUCACUAGCCACACGUGGGUACUGAGCACCGAAAAUGUUGGUAAUCCCAUUGAAAAUGUGCUGGAAGUGUAAACACAUGCAAGAUGUCGAAGACGUGGUAUGAAAAAGAAGAAAUGUGAAAUAUCUCAUAAUUUUCAUACUGAUGAAUAUUGAUAUAUUUUGGAUAUAUUAAGAGAAUAUAUUAAGGUUUAUUUGACCUAUUUCUUUCAGCUUUUUUUUUUUUUUUAACAUAGCCACUAGUAUUUAAAAACACACGUGUAGGGGUGCCUGGCUGGCUCAGUGGGAAGGGCGUGGGACUCUUGAUCUCAGAGUCCCGAGUUCUAAGCCCCAAGUUGGAUGCCGAGACGACUAAAAUAAAUAAAGUUAAAAAUCACACGUGUAGCUCACAUAUGCCACUUGAGUCGUAUUUCUAUUGUACAGUGCUGCAACGGAUAUUUACUGUGACGUUUCCUGAAUUCCUGUUCUUAAAAAAUAUAUAUAUUUAUAUUUUAAAUUCCAGUAUAAUUAACACACAGUUUGAAUUCCUGUUCCUUUGACUCACUGGGGAGUUCCAACCAGCACAGGAAUAUUGGUAGGCCCAUCCUUAUGGCUUGCUGUGGCUUUAACUGUAUAAAGGCCGAUGGGUGUCAUUAAUUACUAUGUUCAUCGUCAACUCUCCGUAAUCUUUUGAUUAAUGGGGAAGGAAUAUGAAGACAUCCGGCGUCUAUGCACACCGGAAAGUGCACGUCGAGAGAGGGGAACACGACGGGAAGGUCAGAAGCAGGGGCAGCAACAAAACAACAAAACCCGCGGGUCCUUCCUCAAGGGGACUUGGCCUUUCUUCACUUGAUCAGUCCUGGGUCUGGGAACCUGCUCAGGGAUGGAAACUAAAGGAUCAUGAUUUUUCCACUGCAGCAACUGACAGUAGUCUACUGCUCAGAGCUUUUGCCAGCACCACCAUGUGGACUCACAGAAUGCCUGAUUCAUCACCAUGGUAUCCCACCCAACAUUGCUUCCAACAAAGGAACUCAGCUUAGCUUGAAGGAAGUGUGGCGAUGGGCUCAUCACCAUGGAAUUCAUUCGUCUUAUCAUAUGUUUCAUCACCUAGGAAUACCUGGCUUGACAAAGCCAGAAUGGUGAAAUUUCCUGUGGAAGGCUCAGUUAUGGUGCCAUAGCCUGCAAAUUUGGGGGCUGUCCUACAGAGCCUAGUAUAUACUUUAAACCAGAGGCCAAUAUAUCAUAUCAUCUCCUUUGUAGCCAGAAUGUAUGGGUCCAGGAUUCGAUAGGUGGAGGUGGGAUUGACCCCUCUCCCUGAAGAAAUAUUUACUUCCCAUCCCUACAUCUUGGACUCAGUGGGUUAAGAGGUUCUAAUGCCGGAGGAAGAGAUGCUUCCACCAGAGGAUGCCUGAGGAUUCUGAUGUUUUGGAAACUGACACUGCCUUCUGGCCAUUUUGUGUUCUUCAUGCUGUUUAACUAACAGGCAGACAACGGGUUCAUUGUAUAGACCAGGGUGGUCCAUCGUGAUCACCAAAGGCAGAUUAGAUUGUUACUAUACAAUAGCAAGGAAGACUAUGUCUAGCACCCAUGGACUUCGCUGGGGUGACUCUUAUCACUCCCUUGCUCAAUAGUACCAGUCAACGAAAACUGGUAACCCGGUCAAGGUAAGAUUAUAAGGACUCAGAUCCUGUGGGGAUGAAGGUUUAGGCCACUCCACCAAGGAACGUAUCCUGCGCUACUGAGAUGCUGAUGGAAGGUAAGGGAAACGUGGAGUGGGUGGCAGAAAAAUUGAAGCAACGACUAUCAACUUAGUGCCUCCUUCCAGCUACAGAAGCAGGGAUUAUAACAACUAUGUUUUAUGUUUAGAGCCCCCUUUCCCUUCCACUUUAUAUGAAAAGUACCAGUGGUCAUUAAUAUUUUAGAUUUCAUGUGGGAGUAUGAAUGAAUUGUCAUCCCCCUGCAAUGGUACAGUAGCUGAUAGGAAUUUGUACAUUCCAUUUGAAGGCAUGGGUUUUUCAUCUGGACAAAGGGCAAGAGUGGUGUGGAGGGGCAAAAGGAAUGGUCAAUGCUGGGAAUUCUGUUUUCCCUUUCAAGAUUCACUUUAUACCCUUCUCCAACCUGCUCUCUCCCCUGACCCAUAUUAAUUGCAUUUGCCAGGCUCCCCCACAUUACAGCUUUUAGUAGCUAUCGGCCAAUGGGAGGUAUCAAUAGGAGA